rnacentral:rRNA from 1 species
UACGUAGGGGGCAAGCGUUGUCCGGAUUUAUUGGGCGUAAAGAGCGUGUAGGCGGCCAAGCAGGUCAGCUGUGAACACUCGAGGCUCAACCUCGAGACGUCGGUUGAAACCGCUUGGCUAGAGUCCGGAAGAGGAGAGUGGAAUUCCCGGUGUAGCGGUGAAAUGCGCAGAUAUCGGGAAGAACACCCGUGGCGAAGGCGGCUCUCUGGGACGGUACUGACACUGAGACGCGAAAGCGUGGGGAGCGAACAGG